CGUGAAACCUUCUCACUUAAGCAGCAAUCUAUCGUCAGGCUCCUUCAGGCUGCAGAGGUAACUGGCGUCAGCAAGGUCAGCUAGAGAGGAAGGCAGAUAGGCAGCAGGCAUGAGUACCAUGAAGUUCUGCUGUGAUUGGUGACUGGAACAUGAACAAGCUCUUCUUCUUCUUCUUCUUCUUUUUUAAAAAAAAAUGGGGCAUGCAUGCAGCAACAACAUCCUGUAUCCGAAGGAAGACAGGGAGCACAAGGUUCUUCUCUAU